AAAUGAAUAGACGGGGACCCGCACAAGCGGUGGAGCAUGUGGUUUAAUUCGACGAUACGCGAAGAACCUUACCUGGCCUUGACAUACUAAAAAGCUUUAAGAGAUUAGAGUGUGCUAGCUUGCUAGAAUUUAGAUACAGGUGCUGCACGGCUGUCGUCAGCUCGUGUCGUGAGAUGUUGGGUUAAGUCCCGCAACGAGCGCAACCCUCGUGUUUAGUUGCUAACAGUUCGGCUGAGAACUCUAAACAGACUGCCUACGCAAGUAGGAGGAAGGUGAGGACGACGUCAAGUCAUCAUGGCCCUUACGGCCAGGGCUACACACGUGCUACAAUGGGGUAUACAAAGAGCAGCGAUACGGUGACGUGGAGCAAAUCUAGAAAAUGCCUCUCAGUUCGGAUUGUAGUCUGCAACUCGACUACAUGAAGUUGGAAUCGCUAGUAAUCGUAGAUCAGCAAUGCUACGGUGAAUACGUUCCCGGGUCUUGUACACACCGCCCGU
rnacentral:rRNA from 1 species